AAAAUAAAUAAAAAAUAAAUAGCCUCAGCCUACCAUAGGCUAUAUGUAAGUAAUCACAGUAAACAUAAACCUCACAGCACUGACAAAUCCCAUAACACAAACACCCACAUGCAUGCACACUGCAUUAAUUUCAUGAUAAACAUAUAUCAGCUGAUAUGAUUUUGGAAUAUGGAAAUCAUGUUAAUUUGUUAUUUUCUAGAUGGGACCUACAUAUGGAAGAAGGAUGAUAAAGGGGUAUCUCGCUAUGAAAGGAGUGCAUGCAGCAGAGACACGAAUUGGAUCAGUGCUCAGAACCAUGCAUCAGCCUUACCAUGAAGCAAGACGUCAGGGUGCCCGCAAUCUCAAUCCCAUACCAUAUCAAGCUGACUACAUGGGUCACAAGGUUCAUAUGGACCAAAAUGAAAAACUGGCUAUGUUUGGGGUCACCCAUGUUUUAGCCAUUGAUUGCUUCCGCAAAAAGGUUGUUGCUUAUUCUACAAUGCCUAUAAAAAACAACCUUGCCAUCUAUGAAGAUGUUUUCAGGCCUGCAGUACUUGCCUAUGGUAUGUGGGACCAGGUGCGAGUAGAUCAUGGCAAGGAGUUUUAUUUGACGCUCUUCAUGCAGGAGCAGCUGUCAUCUCAUCGCCAUAAUCAGGAGAGAAGGCCUUAUUUACAGACUUCAUCCACAAGGAACCACAUAGUUGAACGAGUCUGGCCUGAGGUCAACAAUCGUGUCAAUUAUCCACUGAAGACAGCCCUUCUGCAGUUGGUGGAUCAAGAGGAACUAGACAUGGACGACAACCUUGUGAGAUACUGUGUGUCCAACCUGACUGGCCAGUUGUGCCAGAUUGGUCUCACAAGGAUGGUGGACUCAUGGAAUGCUCACCGAAUUCCAGGUGAAAUAAACCAGUGUUGCGAAGAUUAAAAUAAUUACAACGGGCAUUCAUAAGUUUUGAGACCAACAGUAUGUUCUUUAUUUUACAGGUAAAGGUAUACCCAAUGACUUGGCUGGCAGUGGGUGUCCCAAAAAAAUCCCACAGGAGCUGUUGCCUCAUUCAGCUGAAGCAGCAGACCUUCACGGACAACAGCUGGGAUCCUCACUGACAACACAUUCUGCUUUUG
rnacentral:lncRNA from 15 species